AACUGAUAAAACAACGCAAAGGGAAGGUUCAGAGGGAGAAGGAAGCUGAACAUGACAAAAAAAAAAGACUAAAUAAAGCAAUGUGACGUCUAGGUACACACACCCAAUUACAACAUCAGGCAGUCUCCCUUCCCCGUGAUAACCUGGCUGCUAACUGUGAUAAAACAACACGAAGGGAAGGUUAUGAGGGACAAGGAAGCUCAAUAUGACAAAAGAAAUGACAGAGGAGUAAAUAAAACAAGAAAUUCCCAAACACACACUAUCACAACAUCAGGCAGUCUCCCUUACCCCUGAUAACCUGGCUGGUAACUGUGAUAAAACAACACAAAGGGAAGGUUCAGAGGGAGAAGGAAGCUCAAUAUGACAAAAGAAAUGACAGAGGAGUAAAUAAAACAAGAAAUUCCCAAACACACACUAUCACAACAUCAGGCAGUCUCCCCUCCCCCUGAUAACCUGGCUGGUAACUGUGAUAAAACAACACGAAGGGAAGGUUCUGAGGGACAAGGAAGCUCAAUAUGACAAAAGAAAUGACAGAGGAGUAAAUAAAACAAGAAAUUCCCAAACACACAC